rnacentral:misc_RNA from 1 species
GCAGAAGAGACUAAUUAUCAUUAUCAUUAACAAAGACUCACCAUAUGACUGUGAUUCUAUAUAUGCACAAUCAAGAUAAUUGCACAGAACACAACCACGCAUAGGUAUCCACCUCAUAUCCUAAUUAACAAAUAAUUAUUCCUCAUUUAUAUUAUUAUUACUAUUAUUUUGAUAUAUUUAAAACAUCUAUUAUACAUAUAAUGAUGGCUACAGAAGUGUAGAGGAGGAAGCAAGAGGCUCAUGCACAACAGAAUUUGAAGAAACUGAGAU